rnacentral:rRNA from 1 species
GAUCCUGGCUCAGGACGAACGCUGGCGGCGUGCUUAACACAUGCAAGUCGAACGAGAAUCUGCUGAAAGAGGAUUCGUCCAAUGGAAGCAGAGGAAAGUGGCGGACGGGUGAGUAACGCGUGAGGAACCUGCCUUGAAGAGGGGGACAACAGUUGGAAACGACUGCUAAUACCGCAUGAUGCGUGAGGGCCGCAUGGCCUUUACGCCAAAGAUUUAUCGCUUCAAGAUGG